rnacentral:rRNA from 1 species
UACGGGGGGGGCAAGCGUUGUUCGGAAUUACUGGGCGUAAGGGGCUCGUAGGUGGCCAACUAAGUCAGACGUGAAAUCCCUCGGCUUAACCGGGGAACUGCGUCUGAUACUGGAUGGCUGGAGUUUGGGAGAGGGAUGCGGAAUUCCAGGUGUAGCGGUGAAAUGCGUAGAUAUCUGGAGGAACACCGGUGGCGAAGGCGGCAUCCUGGACCAACACUGACGCUGAGGAGCGAAAGCCAGGGGAGCAAACGGG